UACAUGGGGUGCAAACGUUGCUCGGAAUUAUUGGGCGUAAAGCGCACGUAGGCGGUCCGUUAAGUCGGAUGUGAAAGCCCCCGGCUCAACCGGGGAAGUGCAUCCGAAACUGGCGGGCUAGAGUACGAAAGAGGGUCGCGGAAUUCCCGGUGUAGAGGUGAAAUUCGUAGAUAUCGGGAGGAACACCGGUGGCGAAGGCGGCGACCUGGCUCGAUACUGACGCUCAUGCACGAAAGCGUGGGGAGCAAACAGG
rnacentral:rRNA from 1 species